GCUGUACACACUGUAUACGUAAAUGAAUAUCACGCAACUCGCAAGAAUAUGUUUAUAAUAUCUUUUAACUUUUUUUUAGAAAUUCAUGCAAAAUUUUUUGAAACCUCCAGUCUAACUGGUGAAAAUGUUGGUAGGUUUUGAAGUCAAUUUUCGGAUUUAAACGUACUGCAUGCGAAUUACCCUUGUAAUCACCCUAUACUACAGUAACUGUUCUAGUGUUCUGUAAAAAAUAGGAAUUUUUUUCUUGCAGGCAAACUAUUUCAUGAAGUUGGAAAGACAUGCUUAGAAAAGCUUGUUGUGAAAGCCCCCAAAGGCAAAGGUUCAGACUCAUAUAAUUAUGUAGUUAGACCUAUUUCAAAUUCAUUGUGCAUGUCACGCGAAUACAAGGAUUAUAGUAAAGUUUUACCGUGGGCAACCCAGCAAAUAUAUGUAUUCACUUAACAACGCUUAAAAAUGCGCAUAAAGUUCGUCUGCCUUUGCUAUCAAAUGCAGAUUCGGAUGUUUACGUCAUUGUGUUUUCAUAUAGUAUACCAUAGACAAUCCAGAAGACAGAAGUUUUAUAUUCGUUUUCGAUUUUCGCGAUGUAGGUAUAAUCCUGUAACAAAAAUGGCUACUUAUAUUCAAUGACAAUGCAUGGACCUUUGGCUGCAGCCAUCAAGGUCAAAACAUCUUUGCAGUGUUCCUAUGUCCUGCAAUGUCACAACGUCAGAUAUGUGGAAAGGUCUAAAAGUAUAUAGAUUGCAGUCCUCUCCUCCUUUUUUGUAAUGUUCAUUCUCUAUUAUUUUUAGAGAUUCUAUCACUAACAUUAGAGGAGCCGAUAAAACAAAGACAAAAGCGUUGUUAAUGAUUUAGGAUGACCAAAUUCAGUUUGUCACCUCCAAUUCGGAGUUGAAACUAAAUAGUAAUUACAAUAAUUGUGAUAUAUUAACACAUUCAGGAGCAAAGCUAAACACAAGUAUACACAAGAGUAAAAGUUGAUUUUUAAAAGUUAAGUAGUAUUUAAAUUUUUAUAGCAGAAGGAACGAAUCCUGUUAAAUAUACGAAUUAUUAUUUACGGCUAUAUGAUUCACGUUAAAGACUACUCUAAUAUCAUGUAUUUACAUCGUAGUUAAAAUGAAGAUUGAAUUUAUCAAUAGCGAAUACAAGUGCACUGCCCUUAAAGCAUUCAGUUCUGCAGAAAAAAUGACAUAUUUUAAUGACUAAUGUUAUCUGAAUAGUGAUUGUUUUACG